CUCAGUUUGUCCCGCCCUGCUGCUUUCUUCUCCUCAUGGCGAAAGGCAGCCUAUAUCUUCUGGCAACCUUUUUGUCUUCACCUCGCUUGUGCUUAAAAUGAAACUGACUUCUGAGCAUUACAAAAAUCAAAUGAAAAGAUAUUGGAAGCAAUAUGUAGGCAUUGUGACUGGAGCCAAUCAAAGCCAUGUCCAAAUGAAUUUCAUCAAAGCAUCAUCCAGGCCAUGCUGUCUAGAGGAUUCUCGGAGUCCAAAACAGCAGCUUUUCCAAGUAUGGUCCUAACUCAAGGGAGCUUACCCAGUUGCAUGUAGCCAGGAAAUCUGUUAAACCGGCUGAAGAUUAGUAUAAAUUCAAGCUUGCUCAACCACAAAUUAUACAAACUCAUAUCUGUUGCUAUACCAGGCACUGUUGAGUGCACAAGAAAUAAAGA
rnacentral:lncRNA from 11 species